GCAGGAAGCCGUCUGAACCCUUCGGGGGGACGACGGUGGAAUGAGCGAGCGGACGGGUGAGUAACACGUAAAGCCAACCUAAUUUGCCCAUAGGUCUGGGAUAACACACGAGAAAUCAGGGGCUAAUAUCCGGAUGGUUGCUCACUACGGGGGACCGCAUGGUCCGCUGAUGAAAGGCGCUCCGGCGCUCGCCCAUGGAUAGGCUUUGCAGGUGCGAUUAGCUAGUUGGUGGGGUAACGGAUCACCUACCAAGGCGACGAUGCAUAGCCUGACCUGAGAGGGUGAUCGGCCACACUGGGACUGAGACACAGGCCCAGCACUCCUUCCUACGGGAGGCAGCAGUAGGGAUAUUUCUUCCACAAUGGACGAACAGUCUGACUGGACGCAUCACCGCCGCGUGAACGAUGAAGGCUUUCGGGUCGAUAAGAACUUUCUGUUGUAAGGGAAGAACAAGUGCCGCAGGCAAUGGCGGCACCUGUGACGGUGACUCUCUGCGAGAACAGACUGUCACGGUUUCUAACUACGUGCCAGCAGCCGCGUCUGUAUUAUACGUAGUGUGGCGAAGCGUUGAUCCGGAAUUAGUUGUCGGCGUAAAGCGCGCGCAGGCGGCCUCAUUAAGUCUGACGUGGUGAAAGCGCGCCCGGCUCAAUCCGGGGAGGUGCCAUUGUGAAACGUGGGGAGGCUCUGAGUAUAGGAGAGAAGAGUGGAAUUCCACGUGCUCCCAGCGGUGAAGCAUGCGUAGAGAUGUGGCAGGAACACCAGUGGCGAAGGCGACAUCUUUGGCCUAUAACUGACGCUGACGGCUGCGAAUAGCGUGGGGAGCAAUACAGGAUGUAGAUACCCCGUGGCUAGUCCACGCCGUAAACGAAUGAGUGCUAGGUGUUGAGAGGAGUUUCCGCCCUUCAGUGCUGAAGCUAACGCAUUAAGCACUCCGCCUGGGGAGUACGGUCGCAAGGCUGAAACUCAAAGGUCAAUUGACGGGGACCCGCACAAGCGGUGGAGCAUGUGGUUUAAUUCGAAGCAACGCGAAGAACCUUACCAACUCUUGACAUCCCCCUGACCGGUACAGAGAUGUACCUUCCCCUUCGGGGGCAGGGGUGACAGGUGGUGCAUGGUUGUCGUCAGCUCGUGUCGUGAGAUGUUGGGUUAAGUCCCGCAACGAGCGCAACCCUUGUCCUUAGUUGCCAGCAUUNAGUUGGGCACUCUAGGGAGACUGCCGGUGACAAACCGGAGGAAGGUGGGGAUGACGUCAAAUCAUCAUGCCCCUUAUGAGUUGGGCUACACACGUGCUACAAUGGACGGUACAAAGGGCAGCGAAGCCGCGAGGUGGAGCCAAUCCCAGAAAGCCGUUCUCAGUUCGGAUUGCAGGCUGCAACUCGCCUGCAUGAAGUCGGAAUCGCUAGUAAUCGCAGGUCAGCAUACUGCGGUGAAUACGUUCCCGGGUCUUGUACACACCGCCCGUCACACCACGAGA
rnacentral:rRNA from 1 species